UACGGGGGGUGCGAGCGUUGUCCGGAAUCACUGGGCGUAAAGGGCGCGUAGGCGGCGCGAGCAGUCGGUCGUGAAAGUCCGGAGCUCAACUCCGGAUCGGCGGUCGAUACUCUCGUGCUUGAGCACUGUAGAGGCAGGUGGAAUUCCGGGUGUAGCGGUGGAAUGCGUAGAGAUCCGGAAGAACACCGGUGGCGAAGGCGGCCUGCUGGGCAGUAGCUGACGCUGAUGCGCGACAGCGUGGGGAGCAAACAGG
rnacentral:rRNA from 1 species